rnacentral:lncRNA from 1 species
CAUAUUCAUCGCGGGCGUUCAGUGCACCGCGAUGUCCUUAGCGUCCCUGACGCUGACCAACAGGGCGGCCGCCUUUCUCGUCGACGGGGACGUCCCGGUGGCCAACAGGACGCUCCUCGUCAACCUCAGCGUCGGCGGCGGCGUCGCGGUGACCGCCACGCUGAUCAUAUCCACCCUGAUCCUCUUCACCGUGGCGAUAAAGGAGGGCCUCGGCGUGAUCAACAACACCCCGGUGACGUUCUACAGGUGCG